rnacentral:misc_RNA from 1 species
GAUGAAGAACGUAGCGAAAUGCGAUAAGUAAUGUGAAUUGCAGAAUUCAGUGAAUCAUCGAAUCCUUGAACGCACAUUGCGCCCAUUAGUAUUCUAGUGGGCAUGCCUGUUCGAGCGUCAUUAAGUCCACUUAAGCCCUGCUUAGUGUUGGGAGACUGCUCCAGCGGUGCUACCCUGUAGCUACCCUGCAGCUCCUCAAAGACAGCGGCGGAGUUGUGGUAUCCUCUGAGCUUAGUAACUUGUUCUAGCUUUCGAGUACACCACUUCCCCUGCCGUAAAACCCUUAAUUUUUAAUGGUUGACCUCGGAUCAGGUAGGAAUACCCGCUGAACUUAAGCAUAUCAAUAAGCGGAGGA